UGAGGAAUAGUGGACAAUGGGCGCAAGCCUGAUCCAGCCAUGCCGCGUGCAGGAAGAAGCAUCUCUGGAGUGUAAACUGCUUUUGUACGGGAAGAAACACCCCUACGUGUAGGAGCUUGACGGUACCGUAAGAAUAAGGAUCGGCUAACUCCGUGCCAGCAGCCGCGGUUAUACGGAGGAUCCAAGCGUUAUCCGGAAUCAUUGGGUUUAAAGGGUCCGUAGGCGGUUUAGUAAGUCAGUGGUGAAAGCCCAUCGCUCAACGAUGGAACGGCCAUUGAUACUGCUAGACUUGAAUUAUUAGGAAGUAACUAGAAUAUGUAGUGUAGCGGUGAAAUGCUUAGAUAUUACAUGGAAUACCAAUUGCGAAGGCAGGUUACUACUAAUGGAUUGACGCUGAUGGACGAAAGCGUGGGGAGCGAACA
rnacentral:rRNA from 1 species